GACGGGCCCGCACAAGCAGCGGAGCGUGUGGUUAAUUCGAUGAUACACGAAGAACCUUACCAGGUUUGACAUGCUAGUGGUAGGGAUCCGAAAGGUGACCGACCCUCGGGGAGCUAGCACAGGUGCUGCAUGGCUGUCGUCAGCUCGUGUCGUGAGAUGUUCGGUUAAGUCCGCUAACGAGCGCAACCCUCGCUGUGUGUUACAUGUGUCACACGGGACUGCCCGGGUCUUAAAACCGGAGGAAGGUGGGGAUGACGUCAAGUCAGCAUGGCCUCUAUGUCCAGGGCUACACACGUGCUACAAUGGGCGAUACAGAGUGACGCGAAGCCGCGAGGUGGAGCAAAUCGCAGAAAAUCGCUCUCAGUUCGGAUUGGAGUCUGAAACCCGACUCCAUGAAGGUGGAAUCGCUAGUAAUCGCGCAUCAGCAUGGCGCGGUGAAUACGUUCCCGGGCCUU
rnacentral:rRNA from 1 species